AGGCCAGAGCUAUAUAAACCCUGGGCUGAGCUAGCCAAGGGGGCAAGCCCAGGCUGUGGCAGAAGGUGAACUCCUGAAGGCUCCAAGAAACUGUGAAGCAGCUCUGCAAGUGAGAGCACCAGGCAGAUUGACCCAAGAACAUGGAACAUGGGACCUCUUGCUGCUUUAGUUUGAGAUGGUACAUGACAAAUUUCCCUCUCUUGCUCCAAAAUGUGAGACCUGGAUACAACCAGUCAAAAGGCAAAACUUAGCAUAGCUGAAACCAGGACCUUCACCUCUGAAAUGCACUCCCACUGGAGCCACGUCUUA